rnacentral:rRNA from 1 species
UGAACGCUGGCGGCGUGCCUAAUACAUGCAAGUCGAGCGAACAGACGAGGAGCUUGCUCCUCUGAUGUUAGCGGCGGACGGGUGAGUAACACGUGGAUAACCUACCUAUAAGACUGGGAUAACUUCGGGAAACCGGAGCUAAUACCGGAUAACAUGUUGAACCGCAUGGUUCAACAGUGAAAGACGGUCUUGCUGUCACUUAUAGAUGGAUCCGCGCCGCAUUAGCUAGUUGGUAAGGUAACGGCUUACCAGGGCAACGAUGCGUAGCCGACCUGAGAGGGUGAUCGGCCACACUGGAACUGAGACACGGUCCAGACUCCUACGGGAGGCAGCAGUAGGGAAUCUUCCGCAAUGGGCGAAAGCCUGACGGAGCAACGCCGCGUGAGUGAAGAAGGUCUUCGGUUCGUAAAACUCUGUUAUUAGGGAAGAACAAAUGUGUAAGUAACUAUGCACGUCUUGACGGUACCUAAUCAGAAAGCCACGGCUAACUACGUG